UAGGCAACAAGAUUUACUCUUUUGGUGGUGAGCUCAUACCAAAUCAGCCCAUCGAUAAACACCUUUACGUCUUUGACCUCGAGACCCGGACUUGGUCCAUUGCUCCAGCCACCGGAGACGUUCCACACCUCUCUUGCUUAGGUGUCCGUAUGGUGUCAGUAGGAUCGACCCUCUAUACCUUUGGAGGCCGAGACUUUUCACGCCAAUACAACGGUUUCUACUCGUUUGACACGACAACAAACGAGUGGAAACUGCUAACUCCGGUGGAAGAAGGACCCACUCCUCGUAGUUUCCAUUCGAUGGCAGCGGAUGAGGAAAACGUUUACGUUUUCGGUGGAGUGGGUGCUAUGGAUCGAAUCAAGACACUAGACUCUUACAAUAUCGUUGACAAGACGUGGUUUCAUUGUUCGAAUCCAGGAGAUUCCUUUAGCAUAAGAGGAGGAGCAGGGCUCGAAGUGGUGCAAGGGAAAGUAUGGAUUGUGUAUGGAUUUAACGGAUGUGAAGUAGAUGAUGUUCAUUUCUACGAUCCUGCUGAAGACAAAUGGACACAAGUGGAAACAUUCGGUGUGAAGCCUAACGAAAGGAGUGUUUUCGCUAGUGCGGCUAUUGGGAAACACAUUGUGAUAUUUGGAGGUGAGAUUGCGAUGGAUCCACGAGCUCACGUAGGUCCGGGUCAAUUAAUCGAUGGGACUUUCGCGUUGGAUACAGAGACGUUGCAAUGGGAGAGGUUAGAUAAGUUUGAGGGGACUCCGAGUAGCAGAGGAUGGACCGCGUCCACGACUGGAACCAUUGAUGGUAAGAAAGGACUUGUGAUGCAUGGUGGUAAAGCUCCAACCAAUGACCGGUUUGAUGACCUCUUCUUUUACGGAAUUGACUCUGUCUGAUUAAGCGCGAUUUGAUCAUGACCGUUUGUGUUUUAUUUGUUUGUGUGUCUGUGUGUCUGUGUGAUGCAAUAAGGGAGGGAUCGUGAUACCUCUAUAUGAUCCUUCGUCAGCUUAUCCAUUUUAUUUUUUAUUUUCUAAAUGUAUCUUUUUGUUUUUUGUUUUCUGUUUUGUAUGUUUAAUGUUUCGUGGCUUGUUCAAUAAGAUGUUUAUUUUCCGAAUUUUUUUUGGGUAUGUUACGUUAUACUACAAACAAAAAUAUUAUGAUUUUGAUUUUCUCUAAAGAUGAAAUGAAUAGAACAAGAAGUCAGCAGAUAGGGUGGUUUCAUCUACUUUUGUGGUUGGUAAAUGUGGUUAGAAAAAUUUGCAUUGAAUUGUAAGUUUCUAUCCAUAAAAGAAACAAAAAAUUAAUGUAAUCAAGAGUGGAAAGUUACCAAUGGAUUAUAAAAAUCUUGCAAUUCUAAUAAAUCCUCAUGUCAACGGUACAGAUAAGAUAAGGGUAAGGGGCAAACAAUCUUGUUGGUUCAAAUGGCAAGUAAACAAGGGCAAUUAUAUCCACCUAAUCCAUUGCGUUUUCUUUCUCUAAUCUUAGAAUCUACUUUAAUUGUAUGUUUUUCUCUUUCAUCUACUUUCCAAAACUAUAUAACCUCAUUUCUAUACUUUUUAUGCAUUUAUUUUGAAACCCCUUUAUCAAAAAAAAAAAAGGGGCCAAUUUUUCUUCAAAAAUGGUUACUUUAAGAUUCUCAUAUACAGUGUGCCAAAAAAAAAAAAGGUACCUAAAAUAUUUAUUAUUUCAGAUAUUGGUCAACAUAUUAUCUGUAACAGAAAAAUGUUCACGUGAUAUUUGCGAAUCACAUUUUUCUAGGGGCAAAAGUGAUAUAUGAGAAUCUUAAAGUAACCUUUUCUAGAAUAAUUGCCCUUGUUUACUUGCCACUGUAGUCAUUUAUUUAAUUUAUGUUCAAAAACAGAUUACCUACCUAAUUCACCGAAACGAAAAAUUUUGUUGCCAGUUUUUGUUUUUUUUAAUUUUUUUUUUCCUCUUUUUAGUUUACCUUCUCUUUUUUCUGUUCAACAUUAAACUAGAAGGUAGAGUAAUAAAUAACGAUGGAUGGAUGUGUUGAAAACGCGCUUUAUGCAUGAUUCAUACGAGAGCAGCUGAGGAGGAGACAAAAAACGGGUCUACACUAUAUCAGACUUUUUUUUGUUUUUUUGGUGUAAAACUAUAUCAGAUGGAAAAAUAUCAACCAAAUAAUGUAGAAACUAUAUCAAACUUUUAACAAAACUAUCAACCCAAUAUUUUAUAUUUUAUUAAAAAACAAUACUAAUAAUUUUUCCUUUUCCUCGUUUUUUUUUUUCUGAUCAACCAUUCACACGUUGUUUUUCGUAAUUAUGAUUCUGCAUAAUGCUUUCUCUAAAUCAAAAACUCCACGCCACGGUUCAACUGAUGUAGUGCCUCCACCGUUGUCGUUUGACUCGUUGCAGAGGACACCAUUAUGCACUUCGAUUCAUUUUCAAAAUCGUCUUUCUCUACUGAAUUGUUACUCCAUUUAAUUUUUUGGUCCAUAGAUAACAUAGACCAUUAUACUAGUAUGUUAAAUGUAUACUUAUCAGUUACCGCACAACAUUAAUUCUUAAAGAGGGUUCAUUUUCGAGAAUUGAGUACAACACUACCAUUAGGCCAAAAUGCGAGAGGCAAAAAAAGAUAUAGCAUAUACUUAUCAUGAAUAAUGAAAAUCUUUUCCAUCCAAAUAAAAAUCUUUCUUCUCAUAAAAGAAAGAAGAGAAAAAACAAUGAGUUUGCAUAUCUUUAUCCUGUAGAAUGAUAAUCUUCCCCAUCAACUACUGUAGAUCGUCAACGUGUACUCACUUCCAUUAUCGAUCGAAUCAUCAAUUUAAUGCCUCGUGAAUCACGAGAUCAUAUAAUAUGACAAGAAAUUCGUCCCGUUUAUCUACUGCUGGUCAAUAAAUACUCAUGCAAUUCCCACCAAUAGAUCACUCAACCAAUUUCUUCUCAGGUUCUCUCUUCACACCUCUCCCCUUCUCUAUGAUUAUAGAUAGUAUAUGAUUUGGUUAAAUUAUCUAUAUUUCUUUUUUGAUAAAGGAUUUGGUUAAAUUUUUAAUUGCAGGUAAUACUCGUAAGAUUUAUCAACACAAGCAAAAAAGAUGGCCCAAAAGCUAGAAGCAAAGGGUGGUGAGAUGGGAGAUGUAUGGGAUGAUGGUGUUUACGAAAAUGUUAGAAAGGUAUAUGUAGGGCAAGCACAAUACGGUAUAGCCUUCGUCAAGUUUGAGUAUGUCAAUGGUUCUCAAGUGGUUGUUGGAGAUGAACAUGGAAAGAAGACAGAGCUAGGAGUUGAAGAGGUACUAAAAUAGAUUUUUUUUUUUUUUUUUUUUUUUUUUUUUUUUUAGUCAAAAGGUACUAAAAUAGAUUUAUAUGUUGUGAUUGAUCAAGAGGUAGGGUCUUUUUUUUUUUUGUUGCUUUCCGCAUUGAAAAUUGCUUGGUUUCUUUGCAGUUUGAGAUUGAUGCGGAUGACUACAUCGUAUACGUGGAAGGUUACCGUGAGAAAGUUAACGAUAUGACGUCAGAAAUGAUCACGUUUCUUUCUAUUAAGACUUUUAAAGGCAAAACCUCUCAUCCUAUCGAAAAAAGACCUGGGGUUAAGUUUGUGCUACAUGGUGGAAAAAUCGUUGGGUUUCACGGACGUUCAACAGAUGUUUUACACUCCCUUGGGGCCUAUGUUUCUUUGUCAUCCACUAUCAAAUUGCUUGGGAAGUGGAUUAAGGUAAUAAUCUCUUAGACCAAUCCAAAAACAAAAAUAAAAAAUUAUCUCACAUAAAUAUGUUGUUAUUGUUACCACCGCAAAAUCACUAAAUCACUUACGAGAAAGAAAAAAUGAAGAAGAAAAGAGGGUUGAAUUUGGAAUUCAGAUAAUGACACUUUUAAAAUUUAUAAUUUUAUUAAAUUUAUCUUAUGGGAGUUCAUUAAUCAGAUAAAUAAUUUCUUUAAAAAUAACUAAAAAAUAUUACUCAUAGGUGGAGCAAAAAGGAGAAGGUCCAGGGCUAAGAUGCUCACAUGGCAUAGCACAAGUAGGCAACAAGAUUUACUCCUUUGGUGGCGAGUUCACACCAAAUCAGCCCAUCGACAAACACCUUUACGUCUUUGACCUCGAGACCCGGACUUGGUCCAUUUCUCCAGCCACCGGAGACGUUCCACACCUCUCUUGUUUAGGUGUCCGGAUGGUGUCAGUAGGAUCGACCCUCUAUGUCUUUGGAGGCCGAGACGCUUCACGCCAAUACAACGGUUUCUACUCGUUUGACACGACCACUAACGAGUGGAAACUGCUAACUCCGGUCGAAGAAGGACCCACUCCUCGUAGUUUCCACUCAAUGGCAGCCGAUGAGGAAAACGUUUACGUUUUCGGUGGAGUGAGUGCUACGGCACGACUCAAUACACUAGACUCUUACAACAUCGUUGAUAAGAAGUGGUUUCAUUGUUCGACUCCAGGAGAUUCCCUUACCGCAAGAGGAGGAGCAGGGCUCGAAGUGGUGCAAGGGAAGGUAUGGGUUGUGUAUGGGUUUAACGGAUGUGAAGUAGAUGAUGUUCAUUACUACGAUCCUGUUCAAGACAAGUGGACACAAGUGGAAACAUUCGGUGUGAGGCCUUCCGAAAGAAGUGUAUUCGCUAGUGCGGCUAUUGGGAAACACAUUGUGAUUUUUGGAGGUGAAAUUGCGAUGGACCCGCUAGCUCACGUGGGUCCAGGUCAAUUGACCGAUGGAACUUUUGCAUUGGACACAGAGACGUUGCAAUGGGAGAGGCUGGAUAAGUUUGGUGGAGAGGAAGAGACUCCGAGUAGCAGAGGAUGGACCGCGUCCACGACUGCUACCAUUGAUGGUAAGAAAGGACUUGUGAUGCAUGGUGGUAAAGCUCCAACCAAUGACCGGUUUGAUGAUCUCUUCUUUUACGGGAUUGACUCUGCCUAAUUAAGGCAGAUUUGGUGAUCAUGAACGUUUGUGAAUGUGUGUGUGUGUGUGUGGGUCUGUGUUUGUGUGUGUAAUAAGGGAGGGGUAUACCACCAUAUGAUCCUUCCCCAGCUUGACCAUUGUUUUUUUUUUAAUAUGUUUUUCUUUCUACAUGUUUGUUUCACGUUUCAUGUUGUAUCCAAUAAAUUGUGUACUUUCCUAGUAGUAAUCGCCAGAAAAAAAAAAAAAAAAAAAAAACCUAGUAGGUAGAGUCAUAGCUUACAAUUAAAUAAAUAACGAUGGAUGUGUUGAAAACGCGUUUAUGCAUGAUUCAUGAAUUGUAUAUACGAGAGCAGCCGAGGAGGAGAUAAAGAGAGGGGUCUACAAUGAUCAAUACUAACUUAAUUUUGUAGUGUUGUCAGUCAAUAAUGUAUACCUAUCAAAAUGGGGCCUAUAUUCCAUCACUAGUGAGUUCGUCAGUCAAUAAUGUAUUUUCCGACACUUAAAAAACGUUCCAAAUCAUAAUACUUAUAAUUAUAACCAGAUAAGUUUUACUGAAUCCCAGACUAAUUCUCAAACUUUGCUAUCAUGUUAUUAACAAACAUUACAAUGUAGAGAAAUAUGGAUGCCCUAGUUUCAACUAACACGAUGAAUCAUGUCAAUCACUGUAUAAAUAGUUAAUAAGUUGUGACUUUUUUUUUUGUCGGCUAAUAAGUUGUGACUUUAGGCACCGUCAAUAUUCAACUGUAAUUAUAAUCGUAUAUAAUAAGUGAUUAUAUCUGUCAAAUAUCAUAUAUAACAAAUAAUAUAAUUGUAUGUAUAUAUAUUAUCUCUAUCAACUAUAAUCAUAUACAGAAAGAAAAAAAACAAGUGUUACAUCACGCUUAGCUUAAAAGUUUCGACUUUUUGCACCGUCAUAUUUCACGUGUAAGCAAGAAAUACAAAUGUAAAUAGAUUAUAAUUAAUGAAUUCUCUCGACUCUCUCAACAUAGUAUAUAAAAGGAAAUCUACACAUGAACCGUAUCUUUCUCACUUUUGAAAUAUUUUGAUGUUUUAAAGAAAUUUUUUCAAAAUUUUAUAUAAAUUAUAAAUUAAUUUAAUAUUUUUUGAUUAUUUAUAUUUUUCAUCAGUCUUGUUCAUAAUUGGUUGAAUUGUUUUAAAGUAAAUAUUUCUUUAGCUAAAACAUCUUAUACAAUUAAAAGAAAAAAGUGUAAUCAAAUAACCAAAUAUAAAUUAGUAUUUCAAAUUAUACUUAUUGCAGGGUGAUAAACCUUUUGUCCCAAGUGAAGUUAAACCUAUAAAUAUAUACCCCAUUUAGAGGGUCCUAUAUAACUAAAGUACCACAUAUUUGGUGGUUUAUAUCAUUCAAUUUUUUUGUAACUAACUUAAUAUUUGAUAUGUAAAAUCAUGUUAAAAUAGGAUCAGCAGAUAGAAUAUAUAAAAAAUAAGUCAUGUACAAACGUAACGUUCUUCAUAUCUUAGGUAACGUAUCUAACAAUUUUGUUAAAUAUUAUUAUUUUAAAAAAUUGAACAUAUUAUUUGGAAACUUUUCUUUUGAUAAUUUUGAAAUGGCACUUUGUAAUUAAGAGUUUAAUAAAGAACACGUCACACACAAAAACGAAGAAAGAGAUUAUAGAAAUUAAGUUGUGUUUUCAAUCUUCGUGUAUACAAAACAAAAAUAAAAAUUAGAAAUGAUAUUUCAUACGAUGUUGUUAAAUAAUAUAAUUAUGAAAAUUAGUUGUGCUUUAUAUUAUUAUUUUUGUUGGAAGCUCUAGAAACGAUCGACCUAAUAGUAUAUUUUUGUCACUAAAAAGUGUGAUUAAAAUAUAUAUAUAUAUAUAUAUAUAUAUAUAUAUAUAUAUAAUAUUGUAAUUUUCAACCAAUUCUCGGUUUAGGUGGUUUAUUAUUAUAUUGUUUUUUGAAAAAAUUAAAAAAUAUAUCCUUAUUAGUUCAUUCUUUUCUGGUCAUUCGUUCACACUUUACAACUUGGUUAAUGGCCACUUCUCAAGUUAUCGUUCUUUCAUUUGUUCUACAGUCGCAAGAAAUUAUCGUUCUUUCAUUUGUCAUUAUGCAUAAUGAUUUCUCUUUUCUUUUUAGUGCAUAAUGAUCUCACUACAUAAAAAAAUCUAUCUUACGAUUCAACUAUAUUUAGUCCCAUGCACUCGCUGCAUAACACAUUACUUUCUUCGAUUUAGAGUGAUUUUCACAACCUUGUUUCUGUAUUGUAUAUUUAGUUAGUGUUUGUGAUUACCAAAAAAAAAAAUUGUUUCUUCUUGGCUUAGUCUUUUUAUCUUUUUUUUUUUUUUUGCUUCAUCUAUUUUUCCUCCCAUGACAGAUGAAGACGGCAAGAGAUGCAGCAAAUCUCAUUUAUGAUCUAUCUGAAGAAUCAGCGUCAUCGAUUUGGAGACUCGAACCAUAACAAAAAGAGCAUCACAGUUUCAAUUUAAUUGCUCCUGGCGCUUCCUAUUUCAGCAACAAACAUUAAAUAAUUAAUCCAAUAGAGAUGAUAUAUAUGGAAAUUUCAAAACCAAAAAAAGAAACUUUCAAAACCAAAAUUGCGAAGCCAUAGAAAUCGUGGAUCAUGGAAUUGCGAAGACCAAUGUUGACAUAUGGGAAUUUGGUGUCCCAAUGAGCAGAGAUCACUAAGAUUGGUUUUCGGGAGGAACUUUUUGAGUUCAUGAUUUGAAGAAUUGUCUCGCCUAUAAGCUAUCGUCCAUAGUUUGAGAUUCAUGCGACAAGAAGAAGGUUUGAUUCACUUUCUCCAUUUAAUUGAAUCAUCUUCAUAGAUAUAUUUUCAUACUUAAUCAAUGUUUUUACCAAAAAAAUAAUGUUAUUUUAUUAUUUUGGUUUUAUGUGGUUUGGGAUUGGUGUAGAUUAUAAACCGAUUAAACCAAUGUUUUUGUGUUCUGAGAUUUCAAACUUUUGAACUAAAUAAAUAUACGUUUUGGGGAAUAUCCAAUAUCAAUAUGUAUCAUAGUUUGGACUCUAUCUAUUCCAGUAUGAUAAUUCCCGUGGAAAAAUAUAUCAUCGUCUCUAUUUUAUACAUGCACUUGCAACACAAACCAGCCAUAAAGUGGGUCUAUUCUUAUAAUUUAUGACAACAUGGAACACUAUCAUUGGGCCACGAUGCAAGGAGCGAAGGACGAUGCGAGAAGGUGCUUUACUGAUUUGAUGAACGUGGAGGUGAUUCUGAAUGAUACGAGAUCUCUAAGCUGAAUAUAUAAUAGUAUAGUUUUUCGUAAUUUUUUUUUGUUAAAUUUUUUAUCGCUGCUAAAGAUUAAAUGGCGAGUAAAACUAUACUAUUAUACUUUCAAAGAUCACCCGAGAAAAUGAUGACUGCACAUACUUUCAAUAUCCCAUAGAUGACAUAUCUGUUUUAUUUCCAUCAAGCUAUUCAUCGAAACAAAAGCACAUGACGAUUAUGGGAGAGAAACACUACUCUAAAAUCCCGUAAUAAGCUGCACCACCUAAUUUUUUGUGCCUUGACCAAAAAAAAUUCAAUGUUGCAGUUCAACGAACCUUCUUACGGAGGAUCUUUAAACAAAAUUUAUUUGGUACAUAGAGAAAAAUAUUUUAAUAUAUACUAAUUUAAUGCCUCGCGAUCAACGAGUAGAGAAAAAAUAUGUCGCGUGUAUCUUCUUCCAUUGGUCAAUAAAUACCAAUGCAAUGUUUACUACACAAAUCAUUACUUCAGUCUCACUCUCAGGUCAGCUCUCUCCACAUCUCUCUCAUAUGAUUGUACUAUGUAUAAGAUUUGGUAAUAUUUGUAAUUACAAGUAAAAUUCGUAAAUACAGAUAAUAUUCGUAAGAGGUUGAUCAAACGAAAGCAAAAGAGAUGGCCCAAAAGGUUGAAGCACAAGGAGGAAAUGGCGGUAACCAAUGGGAUGAUGGAUCCGAAUACGACGCUGUGACCAAGAUUCAAGUCGCAGCAGGCGGGAACGGAAUUGAAUAUGUUAAGUUCACAUACGUCAAGAACGGACAAACCGAAGAAGCCCCUCUACGCGGUGUCAAGGGCCGUAGUUUCGAAGCAGAUCCGGUUCCUAUACACUAUCCUUGCCUAUCUCUUCAUUUUUAUCUAUAAGGACAUUGACGUGAAUUAAUAUAUAUAUAUAUAUAGGUUAUAUAUUGUCAAGGGUUUGUUUUGAUAAUGUUCUUUUUAAGAAAUUGACAUUUUGAUCUUGAUCUCUACAGUUUGUGAUAAACCAUCCGGAGGAGCACUUAGUUUCUGUAGAAGGUCGGUAUAACCCUGAAGGACUUAUUCUAGGGCUAACGUUCAAAUCCAACAAGAAGACUUCUGAUCUCAUUGGAUAUGAAGAUGGUACACCGUUCACUCUCCAAGUUCAAGACAAGAAGAUCGUUGGAUUUUAUGGCUUCGCUGGAAACAAUCUCCAUUCUCUUGGAGCGUACUUUGCUCCGUUGACUAAUGUAACCCCCUUGAAUGCCAAAAAGCUAGAAGCAAAGGGUGGUGACACGGGAGAUAUAUGGGAUGAUGGUGUUUACGAUAAUGUUAGAAAGGUAUAUGUAGGGCAAGCCCAAUAUGGUAUAGCCUUCGUCAAGUUUGAGUAUGUCAAUGGUUCUCAAGUGGUUGUUGGAGAUGAACAUGGAAAGAAGACAGAGCUAGGAGUUGAAGAGGUACAAAAAUAGAUAAUUCUAUGUUGUGAUUCGUCAAAAGGAUAUAUAUAUAUAUAUAUUUAUAUGGGUAACCUCACUCAAAAUUAUUUGGUUUCUUUGCAGUUUGAGAUUGAUGCGGAUGACUACAUCGUAUACGUGGAAGGAUACCGUGAGAAAGUUAAUGGUAUGACCUCAGAGAUGAUCACUUUUCUUUCAUUCAAGACUUAUAAAGGCAAAACCUCUCAGCCUAUCGAACAAAGACCUGGUAUUAAGUUUGUGCUACAAGGUGGAAAAAUUGUUGGGUUUCACGGACGUUCGACCGACGUUCUAGACUCCCUCGGGGCUUAUAUUUCAUUGUCGCCCACUCCAAACUUGCAUGGAAAGUGGACAAAGGUAGUAAUCUUUUAUAUAUCACCAUGGGAGCUAGUUCACUAAGCAGACUCUAUAUUAUAAAAAAUCCUAACUAACAAGUAUUAUUAAUUAAUUAUAAGGUGGAUGAAAAUGGAGAUGGUCCAGGGCUAAGAUGCUCGCAUGACAUAGCACAGGUAGGAAACAAGAUUUACUCUUUUGGUGGUGAGUUCACACCAAAUCAGCCCAUCGACAAACACCUUUACGUCUUUGACAUCGAGAGCCGGACUUGGUCCAUUUCUCCAGCCACGGGAGACAUUCCAACCCUCUCUUGCCUAGGUGUCUGUAUGGUGUCAAUAGGAUCGACCCUCUAUGUCUUUGGAGGCCGAGACGCUUCACGUCAAUACAACGGUUUCUACUCGUUUGACACGACCACAAACGAGUGGAAACUGCUAACUCCGGUCGAAGAAGGACCCACUCCUCGUAGUUUCCACUCAAUGGCAG
rnacentral:lncRNA from 1 species